ensembl:rRNA 5S_rRNA 5S ribosomal RNA
GUCUACAGCCAUACCACCCUGAACAUUCUGAUCUUGUGUGAUCUCAGAAACUAAGCAGGAUUGGGCCUGGUUAGUAUUUGGAUGGGAGACAGCCUGGGCAUACCAGUGCUGUAGGCU